GGGAACCGCCUGAACUGAAACAUCUAAGUAGGGCGAGGAAGAGACAUCAAACGAGAUUCCGUAAGUAGUGGCGAGCGAACGCGGAAGAGGGCAAACCGAGAGUAGAAAUACUUUCGGGGUACGGACUGCUUUUAAGACUCAAUCUGUUAACCGAACGGCAUGGGAAGGCCGGUCAGAGAGUGUGAGAACCACGUAGGUGAAAACGGAGAGAGCUGCGCAGGAUCCAGAGUACGGCCAGACACGUGAAACCUGGUCGGAAUACGGGGGGACCACCCUCCAACCCUAAAUACUACCCAGUGACCGAUAGCGUAUAGUACUGUGAAGGAAAGGUGAAAAGCACCCCGGGAGGGGAGUGAAAAAGAACCUGAAACCCUGUGCCUACAAGCACCUAGAGCACGUCAAUGUGUGAUAGGGUACUUUUUGUAGAACGGUCCGGCGAGCGAUUGUAUGCAGCAAGGUUAAGGACUUAAGGUCUGGAGCCGAAGCGAAAGCGAGUUUGAAAAGGGCGUUAAGUUGCAUAUAAUGGGCCCGAAACCGGGUGACCUACCCAUGGUCAGGUUGAAGUGGAAGUAAAAUUCCAUGGAGGACCGAACCGACCUCCGUUGAAAAGGCGGCGGAUGAACUGUGGGUAGCGGAGAAAUUCCAAUCGAACCCGGAGAUAGCUGGUUCUCCCCGAAAUAGUUUUAGGACUAGCCUCAAGUUAGAUACCUGGAGGUAAAGCACUGAAUAGCCUAGCGGCCGAGAGGUUAGCGAAGCUUAUCAAACUCAGAAUGCCAGAGUAUUGAUGCUUGGGAGUCAGACAGUGUCAGAUAAAUGUCAUUGUCAAAAGGGAAACAGCCCAGAUCUACAGCUAAGGUCCCAAAGUCAGGUUAAGUGGAAAACGAUGUGAAGAUACGCAGACAACCAGGAUGUUGGCUCAGAAGCAGCCACUCAUUCAAAGAGUGCGUAAUAGCUCACUGGUCGAGCGUCUUUGCGCGGAGAAUUUAACGGGGCUAAACCUGACACCGAAGCUUAGGCAAUACAGCAAUGUAUUGGGUAGGGGAGCGUUGUAUACGCGGUGAAACAGUAGCGCAAGCGGCUGUGGAGUGUAUAGAAGUGAGAAUGCCGGAAUGAGUAGCGCGAAUGCAGUGAGAAUCUGCAUGGCCGAAAGCCUCAGGUUUUUGGAGGAAGGUUCGUCCGCUCCAAGUUAGUCGGGAGCUAAGGUGAGGCCGGAAGGCGUAGCCGAUGCACAGACGGUAGAGAUUCCGUCACCACCAAAAGAGUUAAGCACAGGGACACAUUUGAAGUCUCAGAGCCGGGUGUUGGUUCCGGUAGAGAUCGAGGGAAAUUAGUACCGAAGUCUGAGAUGGAAGAUGGCGAGAAAAGCUGUGUGUAUUUCUGAGGUGCCCGUACCGCAAACCGACACAGGUAGGUAGGAAGAAGAUUCUAAGGCCAACGGGAGAAGGGUUGUUAAGGAACUCGGCAAAUUGACCCCGUAACUUCGGGAGAAGGGGUGCUCCAGAGAUGGAGCCGCAGAGAAUCGGCCCAAGCAACUGUUUACCAAAAACACAGGUUUGUGCUAAAUCGAAAGAUGACGUAUACGAGCUGACGCCUGCCCGGUGCUGGAAGGUUAAGAGGAGAUGUGCAAGCAUUGAAUCGAAGCCCCAGUGAACGGCGGCCGUAACUAUAACGGUCCUAAGGUAGCGAAAUUCCUUGUCAGGUAAGUUCUGACCCGCAUGAAAGGCGUAAUGAUUUGGGCACUGUCUCAACAGCCCGCCCGGCGAAAUUGUAGUACCGGUGAAGAUGCCGGUUACCCGCGACAAGACGGAAAGACCCCAUGGAGCUUUACUGUAGCCUAAUAUUGGGUUUCGAUGUUGCAUGCACAGGAUAGAUGGGACACUGGGAAACAAUCGCUUUGGCGGUUGCGGAGUGGCCGUUGGGAUACCAUCCUUGCGAUAUUGGAAUUCUAACCUGCGGCUCUGAAUCGAGUCGGGGGACAUUGUUAGGUGGGCAGUUUGACUGGGGCGGUCGCCUCCUAAAGAGUAACGGAGGCGUUCAAAGGUUCGCUCAGCUUGAACGGAAAUCAAGCAAAAGAGUGCAAACGCAGAAGCGAGCCUAACUGCGAGACUGACGGGUCGAGCAGUAACGAAAGUUGGAGUUAGUGAUCCGGUGGUAUGUGAGUGGAAAUGCCAUCGCUCAACGGAUAAAAGCUACCCUGGGGAUAACAGGCUGAUCUCCCCCAAG
rnacentral:rRNA from 1 species